rnacentral:rRNA from 1 species
CAAUAGCGUAUAUUUAAGUUGUUGCAGUUAAAAAGCUCGUAGUUGGAUUUCGGAUGGGAUUUGCCGGUCCGUCGUUACGAUGUGCACUGGCCAGUCCUAUCUUGUUGUCGGGGACUAGCUCCUUGGAUUCACUUCCUGGGACGAGGAGCUGACGAGGUUACUUUGAGUAAAUUAGAGUGUUCAAAGCAAGCCUACGCUCUGAAUACAUUAGCAUGGAAUAACACGAUAGGACUCUGGCUUAUCUUGUUGGUCUGUGAGACCAGAGUAAUGAUUAAGAGGGACAGUCGGGGACAUUCGUAUUUCAUUGUCAGAGGUGAAAUUCUUGGAUUUAUGAAAGACGAACUUCUGCGAAAGCAUUUGUCAAGGAUGUUUUCAUUAA